AACGAACGCUGGCGGCAUGCCUAACACAUGCAAGUCGAACGAGAUCUUCGGGUCUAGUGGCGCACGGGUGCGUAACGCGUGGGAAUCUGCCCUUAGGUUCGGAAUAACAGUUGGAAUCGACUGCUAAUACCGGAUGAUGACGAAAGUCCAAAGAUUUAUCGCCAGAGGAUGAGCCCGCGUAGGAUUAGCUAGUUGGUGUGGUAAAGGCGCACCAAGGCGACGAUCCUUAGCUGGUCUGAGAGGAUGAUCAGCCACACUGGGACUGAGACACGGCCCAGACUCCUACGGGAGGCAGCGGUGGGGAAUAUUGGACAAUGGGCGAAAGCCUGAUCCAGCAAUGCCGCGUGAGUGAUGAAGGCCUUAGGGUUGUAAGGCUCUUUUACCCGGGAUGAUAAUGACAGUACUGGGAGAAUAAGCUCCGGCUAACUCCGUGCCAGCCGCCGCCGUAA
rnacentral:rRNA from 1 species